rnacentral:rRNA from 1 species
GCUAAAUGGUGGGCAGCGGGGGAGGUAAUACGAAUGGAGCGAGCGGUGUGCGUAAUCACGGUGCGUGAAGGUGGUGCAGGCGGUUGUGAAAGGCAGGAGGGAAAUCCCAGGUGUCAACCUUGGAAUUGCUUUUGAAACUUCACGACUAUAGUACUGGAGGGGUUGGCGGAAUUUCGAGUGUAGCAGUGAAAUGCGUAGAUAUUCGAAGGAACACCGAUGGCGUAGGCAGCCAACUGGACAGUUACUGACGCUCAUGUACGAAAGUAUGGGGAGCAAACAGGAUUAGAUACCCUAGUAGUC